rnacentral:lncRNA from 1 species
UAUGUAUUGGCUGUUAUGUAAGUGAGAGUAUAUUAAAGAUAGUAGAAAAGUCUUAGGGUGAUUAAUAGUUACAGUAUGCGUGUUAUAUGUAUAAAAUAUAUUAAAUAAUAAAAAUUAUGAAUCUUAUUAGUGAGUUGAAAUAAAUAAAUAGAUAUUAAAAGAUUUAAAAAAUUCAUUUAACCUGUAUCAUUAAUGGGUGGGUGCGUGUGUGUAGUCUUUUGGCGCGUGACUGUGGUGAACCAAACCUGUGGUGUAACGACCCGGAACUUGAAAGUAAAUAACUUAUAAAUUAAUUGCAGAAGCGAACUAAUAGUGCUAGGGUUUACAUACCAUACAUAAUAAUUCUAAAUACCCAAUAGGGUAUGAGAAUGACCAUUUUAAAAGAACAACGGAAAAUCAAAUAAAUAAAUAGAAAAUAAACAAUUAAACAUCCUAUUCGAAACCCUCUUGUGGAUUGGGAUCUGGAUCUUGGUCCUAUUGAUCUGAAAUGAUUAAUAAACGAAUGAGCUACAUUAACCUAGUAAGAAUAUCACGCUACUCACUGAUACAAGAAUUAAGGUUGGUAAAAAUCAUGAAAACUACUAAUGAAGUUAUUAAUUUAAGUAAAUUCAUUAUCAUAAAUAAAAUUAUUUAUUAUACAUUUACCGUAACAAAAUUUUCAAAACUAACCUACAGAGGCAAUAACACGACAAUAUCAUAAUUUCACAUCCAAUUAAGUAAAAAUAACAACUUUUUCAUUUUAUCUGCCUACUAGUAUACGUUGAGGUCCAUAGGGAUGUCCCUACUACGCGUGAAUCCUUAUUUAACAGUUUCAAGUAACCGGUCGUCCCCAUACCACGUCCGGUGUAAGCGCAAAAAAUAUCAUUCCUCAAUAUCUCGUACGGUAUGAGCGCCAUAAUACCAAUUCUCGAUACCCCAUCUAAUAUGAGGUAAUGUUCACGGUAGGGUUCCUUAUGCACCCGGUCCGUCUACCAUCUAUCAGGAUAUCUAAUAAGGUUACCAUUUAUUUAAUCACUUAAUCCAACAAUUCUCCGUUUAUAUUUAAUUUUCAGUUUUACAAUUUAACUGUAGAUCACGCAAAAUAAGCAAUAAAUUCAUCAAGGAAACACAACUGAAUCAUCAUACCAACUCCAGUGUAAUAUUAUGCAUUUGAAAUAGUAAAAUCAAUCAAACAGGAUCAACAGUAAAUAAUAACCAGUUCUGACUCCAUUAGUAAUUUGUGAUUAAUUAUCGUAAUUUUUUAAAUUACGCAAAAUACCGUAUUAUUUAUAAUUAGACUUCAAUUCUAUAACAAAGAAUAGGAUGAGAGAUUUUUAUCCAAACUGGUAUCCGAAUGUUAAACUUUCAGUUACUCCUGCUGGCAGUCUCUAGGUUCCCUGAAUUUUUAUUCGGAGAUUAAAACACUUUUCAAAUACCUAUAAAUACACUAAAAACCUAAAAUCAGUAUUAGAAACCUUUUUCAGCCAAUUUUGGGAUUCCGACACGGCAGCAGCGCUGUGCUCCGGCAAUGGCACUGNNNNN